rnacentral:rRNA from 1 species
UGGGGAAUCUUGCACAAUGGGGGAAAUCCUGAAGCAGCAACGCCGCGUGGAGGAUGAAGGGUCUAUGACUUGUAAACUCCUGUAAAGAAGGAAAAAAUUCCCAUUUGAUGGGAGAUGAUGGUACUUCUGGAGUAAGCCCCGGCUAACUACGUGCCAGCAGCCGCGGUAAUACGUAGGGGGCAGGCGUUGUCCGGAUUUACUGGGUGUAAAGGGUGCUCAGGCGGAUUUGUAAGUCAGAGGUGAAAUCUUACAGCUUAACUGUGAAACUGCCUUUGAUACUGCAAGCCUAGAGUAUGGAAGAGAGUGAUGGAAUAUCUGGUGUAGCAGUGAAAUGCGUAGAUAUCAGAUAGAACACCAAUGGCGAAGGCAGUCACUUGGUCCAUUACUGACGCUAAAGCACGAAAGCGUGGGUAGCAAACA